rnacentral:rRNA from 1 species
UACGUAGGGUGCGAGCGUUAAUCGGAAUUACUGGGCGUAAAGCGUGCGCAGGCGGUUCGUUAAGUUCGUUGUGAAAGCCCCGGGCUCAACCUGGGAGCUGCAAUGGAAACUGGCGGGCUUGAAUGCGGCAGAGGGGGGUGGAAUUCCGCGUGUAGCAGUGAAAUGCGUAGAGAUGCGGAGGAACACCGAUGGCGAAGGCAGCCCCCUGGGCCGACAUUGACGCUCAGGCACGAAAGCGUGGGGAGCAAACAGG